UUAGGCGGAAUCACUGGGCUUAAAGCGUGUGUAGGCGGAGUGCUAAGUACCUUGUGAAAUCCCACAGCUCAACUGUGGAAUUGCUUGGUAUACUGGCAUUCUUGAGCCAUCUAGGGGCGAGCGGAACAAAUGGUGGAGCGGUGAAAUGCGUAGAUAUCAUUUGGAACGCCAACGGUGAAAACAGCUCGCUGGGGAUGUGCUGACGCUGAGACACGAAAGCCAGGGGAGCAAACGGG
rnacentral:rRNA from 1 species